UUCCUGCCGGCGCUGGUCGUCGCCCGGCUCCUCCUGCUGCCCCCCGCGGGGCGCGUCCCUAAACUGGGGGAUGUGAGAGCAGGGCUGCAGCUUCGGCAGCUGGUGAACGUGCAGACAGGCAGCGCAGGCAACAGCCACUACAAGAUCAAGCACAGCCUGCAACUCCGCCGCGCACCUCAAGGCCUCGUGCCAAUGAGUGAGCCGUCUCUGCGACAGCCACCUCCAUCUUUAUCUUGUGUAUUUUCACGCUAUUAAUAAUAUGGGAAGUGAGUGUAUAAUGCACUGUUCAUAAGCUGCUGUUGUCAUUAUUUAUUUUAUCAAUGUAAAAGAUAGAGCCAUACAAAAAGGGAACCUUUCUUCACCAGCUUUUCACCAGGGUAUAAUGCACUGUUUUUAAGCUGCUGUUGUCAUUAUUUAUUUUAUCACUGUAAAAGAUAAAGCCAUAUAAAAAGGGAACCUCUUCUCACCAGCUUUUAUUAGUUGGGAUGCAACGUAUCUCUCAAGUAUUUAAUCUAAGAUUUUAACUAGAUUUUUUUAUUGUAAUUUGGCCUAUAGUUUAUUAUGCACUUCUCAUCUCAUCGUAAAUGUUACAUGUUUCUAUACUGAGCGACCAAUGUCAGUCGAUAUCUCUUUUGCGCUUAUGCAGUCGUUAAAGUUUUGCUGCAAAUUAUCUAAAUAUCUAUCCGGUUUAUAUAUUAUAAAUCUAUUGGGACUGAGUAUUACUCGAUAAAGGCAAGUUUAUUCUUCACAAAUGAUUUAGGGAAAACACGGGAAGAGCUUCUUCUUUGAGGAUUUUUAUUGUUUUGGAACAUGCGUGUUUGUCGACUGCUGCUCCUAUCAAAAUAUAUCAUUUCAUUCAUUUAUUUUGUUUGUGUUAAAAUUAAAGAGCCAUUGGGAGCGGUUUUUAUUUUCUGUAUGAAUCCAAAGGAGAUAAUUUUUUUUUUAAUGAGAUGAUCAUAAGAAAAAUACAUUGUGCACUCAUCGUUCAUGUCCAUGUCUUUAUUUCUACUUUCGUAUUGUCCGAUCUUGCAGUCCUUCAUGAACGUCUGUGAUGCGUACAGUAAUGUAAGAGAGGCACAGUUUCAAAUGAACUUGUAUCUAUGUACCAAGAAUAAAGUGCAAUGAGUUUC
rnacentral:lncRNA from 1 species